rnacentral:tRNA from 3 species
GAGGACGUGGUGAGGACAACCAGGACAGGACAUCGGGCUCCGGACCCGAAGGUCGUGGGUUCAAAUCCCACCGGUCCCG